GUGGGCUAUGGGGACAUGCACCCCAUCACUAUUGGGGGCAAGAUUGUGGGGUCUCUGUGUGCCAUCGCGGGGGUGCUAACCAUUGCUCUGCCCGUGCCCGUGAUAGUCUCCAAU
rfam:Anas platyrhynchos breed Pekin duck contig137795, whole genome shotgun sequence.